ACUGCUCAGUAACACGUGGAUAACCUGCCCUAAGGAAGGGGAUAACCCCGGGAAACUGGGGAUAAUACCCUAUAGGUUAUAGAUGCUGGAAUGCUCUGUAACUCAAAGUUCCGGCGCCUUAGGAUGGAUCUGCGGCCGAUUAGGUUGUUGUUGGGGUAAUGGCCCAACAAGCCUGUAAUCGGUACGGGUUGUGGGAGCAAGAGCCCGGAGUUGGAUUCUGAGACACGAAUCCAGGCCCUACGGGGCGCAGCAGGCGCGAAAACUUUACAAUGCGGGCAACCGUGAUAAGGGAACCUCGAGUGCCUGUAUAUGCAGGCUGUCCAGGUGUCUAAAACACACCUGAAGAAAGGGCCGGGCAAGACCGGUGCCAGCCGCCGCGGUAAUACCGGCGGCUCGAGUGGUGGCCACUUUUAUUGGGCUUAAAGCGUUCGUAGCUGGGUUGUUAAGUCUCUUGGGAAAUCUGGCGGCUUAACCGUCAGGCGUCUAAGGGAUACUGGCAAUCUUGGAACCGGGAGAGGUGAGGGGUACUUCGGGGGUAGGAGUGAAAUCCUGUAAUCCUCGAGGGACCACCUGUGGCGAAGGCGCCUCACCAGAACGGCUUCGACAGUGAGGGACGAAAGCUGGGGGAGCAAACCGGAUUAGAUACCCGGGUAGUCCCAGCCGUAAACGAUGUGCGUUAGGUGUAUCGACGACCACGAGUCGUCGAGGUGCCGAAGGGAAACCGUGAAACGUACCGCCUGGGAAGUACGGUCGCAAGGCUGAAACUUAAAGGAAUUGGCGGGGGAGCAC
rnacentral:rRNA from 1 species